UGUUUCCUCACAUAUACCGUCUUCCUAUACCACUAAUACAAAAUAACAGUGUCCAUGCAUUUGAUGGGGUACGCAAUCGGGUUCACCACAUGCGUGGCGAUUUUUUGUACUUUGCCCACGUGAUGAAUGGGUAUUGUUCAUUUGCUCCGCCAUGAAUAAAGCCCAAACACGAUUGUCUGGUAAUACAACCCAUUCAAUUUAUUUAAAAUCCCAUCAACCAAUGGUAGUGGACUGCAAGUAUUGGGUGUCUCUCGUCAUAUGUCUGCUCCACGAUAUGAGCCAAUCAGUCCAAUCCACUAGGUCUAACCUUUGUAUUAGGUAUGCGAGGUACUCAUCUCUUCGGGCCUCUUAAAUAUGGCGCCCAAAGACGGUAUACGUGAGGAAACAGAGUAUUACAACCUAUAUCACUCUGAUAUUUCGAGAACUGUUCUUCCCAUAACCAGUGUUCUUCAACUAGCAAAAAAAAUCAGUGUCCUAGGUGUCUUAGGUGACUCCUCAGGAGUACAGGACCACAUUUCAUAAAGCACAGUGUAGAGUUUUAUUAUUCAAACGCGAUAUAGCUGUUUUAUCACAUGCCGUAGAUUCUAAUAUUUUCAAAUAAACUGGGCAGCAGCGCCUUUUAAACCAUUCGCCUCUCGAUUUCACCAACCAACGAAGAUUUUCGUCAAGUCAAUUGUCAAUUUCAGGUAGCCUGUAAUCGGUAUAGUAAUUUGAAUAUACCACGCAUUUUCAGGACAAUUCAAGGGGUGGCAAAAUCGAAUAUAGAUGGCAAAAGCAAAGUAGAAAGCGAUGAAGUCUGGCACCUCGUGCAGAGGUUCAAUUUUUGGAGAGUUUGCCGUCACUGCAGCGAGAGCAUGUUUCGAUUCAGCGUGUGCGUUCGUAUGGCAGUCUCCCAUUCAGUUUAGUCCUCUACAGUUCGGCAUUGGUCGCUUGUCCUAAUCUAUGCUCGGAAAAAACUUUGGUCAACUUUUCGGCGGAUGAACGAUCAUCGCCAAUAUGUUGCUUGCAGAUGGGUAUUUGCCAGAGCAGUCGAUUGGCUGAAACGGACCACUUGUUUUAAAGCGGUUUCCUGCUGUUUGUUUCCCGCUUCACUGAAAGCCCAAAUUAACAAAUUCUAAUAAAAGUAUCCAAGAUGUUACCACGAUGUUUUAUUUUAAUUCUAGUGCAGGUAAUAUCAAUAAUGCUAAGAAGUUAUUUUUUGUAAAAUAUCGGCACUAUUUCAGGUCCACAGAAGUAGUUCUGCUGCUCUCUCAUUUUGAAAUGUUGUUGUUUGAAUGAGCCAAUCAGAUCUUUGUUUGAAUUAGGUCAAGAUUUUGAAUGAAUAAAUGCAACUUUUAUUAUCAUUGCGUCGAGUGGUCAUGAUCAUGCCUUGUGUUUGAUAUAGUGGUCUCGUACAUUUUCGGCAAUAACUGACAAUGGUCCCAACCCGAAGCAGGUUUUACAAGAAGGUUACACAUGAUCAAGAAAUAAUUCAGCCAGGUUUUGCUGAUAAAAACAUGCGAUCGAGGUGUCAUUGCGCAUUUGUUUGCUUUUUGAUGCUAGGUUGCAAAACUAUUAAUACUCGAGAGCAUGCUGGCGGCCAUCUUUGCCGACUGCACAGUGAGAAGGGAGCAUGUUUGGAGAGGGAGGACGUAACGAUUACUACAGGAUGGCUUAUGUAUCAACUAGAGGAGAAAAGCACUGAAGCGUACAGAGUAACUGAACCAGUCGUUUUCAAACCUCCCGUAUCGGCCAUUUUGAGCAAAUAUGAAGCCAGGCUGUGCAUGCCGGAUGACAAUUCUAAUUCGAUACUAUUUAUUUAUCAAGAGGACAGAGGACAUUUUCCUGUUUUAAGAAAUAUACUUGUCUACCAACCUAAACAAAAGAAUGUUUACGCACUGGUUCAUAAUGUGUCUGUUUCCUCUCGUUUCGUUAUAAUGUUCAAUGAUAUUCACAAAGGGAAAUUAUGGCUACUUGACUUCGUGCGCUGGAGAAGUGGGCGUGAAAAGGUUGUAUUUAAGUUGUUGGAGAUAUUAACUGGUCGCUAUGACACAAUGAUCCUACCUCGUCAUCACCAAUGCUCAGCAUCCAGAUCCGCGUUUUCCCAGCCGCUUCUCUUGAAAAACAUCAUGGCAGUAGGAUGUCGUGUUAAGGGUGCUUCUAGUCAGUUGAUCACCGUGUUUAGCGUUACGUGGAUACAUGAUCAAGCGACGCUCUUAAAACUUGAUAGUUGGCUCACAAGUCCUGGCAAUGCCCUAAUUCUUUUUGGCAAUCGACAAGGUCAUUUAUUAUGCUGUAGAAGUGAAGGUAGAGGUUUCCUUGAACUAUAUCGUGCCUUCCCUAAACCUAAAAUAGUGUUGGAAUGGUUUUCGUUAUCAUUUUACUCAUUUCAUGCGUAUAGCAUCAACUAUCGAAAGGAAUCAACGCUUUUAUUGGCAUAUAUGCAUGUAAACAAAAACGUGUUUUCCAGGGUAAUAUUUAUCAGAGGCAUAUGCUAUCCUCUGGCUCCUUUGAAUUCUGUAACAAAGUUUAAUAAGAUGGCCAUUGUUUCGGUCAGUAAUUGGCAUAUUGGGAUACCGCGGAAACAAAGUAAAUAUGGUAAAGAACGCAGAAUAGUAAUGCUACCUAAUAGCGUUCUAUUAUCCCCCGUACGGACUGUCAAAGAUAUGGGUAAAGGACAUAGCAAGGAGACAAUAAAAUACGCCAAACGGUUUACGCCAAUUGGUUAGCAAAACGCGUCGAAAGGUUUCCUGGCCAUGCACAGAAAUUAGUAAAACCACUCGAGUAGGAUUUCCGAGGUCGGGUGAUUGGUCUUUAGCCAGAAAACCCGUGAGCCAGCAGGUCGAGGAGAUUACCGGGGCCAAUAAGAGACCGAUCACUGGUGUGAUCUGCUAUCUUGACAGUUUAACCAGCGUUAAUCAAACUCGGUCGAAAAUAUGUAGACCGAAGGUUUGUCAACGGCGAAAACCGAAUUUUUAUCCAUUCCGUAGAUUUUAGUACGUCACAGACAUGUUGAUCGAAACUUAAAAACUGUGAAAUAUUUCAAUAUUUUGAUAACGGGUAAGAGAGCGAGAAUCAUCCUCGAUGAAUAAAUUGGUUCCCAGAACGGGAUAGCGAAACCUCUCUAAAAUAGAAAAUGUACGAAAGCCGAGAGGGAUCAUCCGAGAUCCGAAAUUCGAAAUCAGGGAUCUGAAAUCCGAAAUCCGAGCUCCGUGAUGCAAUAUCUGAAUUAUCAAAUCAGCAGCGGCGUUACUAGACGUUGACGCAACUAGCUAAUGAAGUCAGGCGUAUCAAUCUUGGCACUAGAGGGUGUUGAUCGGGGCUCGUGAACGCCCUCUAGCGCAGGUGUUAUACUGGUGGUGGGUUUUUUUCACUACAGGAGAAAUGGAAUACCAGAGCUUUGAAACUACUUUCACCAACGGAUGAUAGCAAUACUUAAGUGAGUGCAACAUUUACAUACUCGAUUACACAUUUCAUGACAUUUCGGUCCCUAACGUUCAUUACGGUUUUAUUCAGGUGGAGGGGAUUCAUAAGGCCAGAGCCCUGUGUCAAGUACAACCCUUUGCCAAUAGCAUAAUAAAGUUUCAAAACAUUCCAAUACCGUUUGCCUGAGAAAAAGUGAUUUCCGUACUCCAUAUCCAUCAAAACGUCACUGGCGCAUUGAUAUUGCCCUGUCAAAAUAUUAGUUCUAAACUGACCAGUGACACAAUGUGGAAUUAAUUCUCAAUCAGUGGUCGAUUCUUAAAAGAUUCUUAAAAGAAUCAACCACAGACUGAGAAUUAUUUCAACUUUGGUCCAUCCUAGCCAUGUAUUCACCACAACUUGACAAUAUAAUAAGCUCUAUGUGACUACCACACUUCCGGUUGUGGAUGAAUACAUGUCUCUGCCCAUAACAGGUAUUUAUCUUUUUUCAAUUUCAAUAUUGAGUUUUCUAAAGGGCUUUGUCUCCUAACAAUACUGCAUUUAGUUUCCAUUCGAUCGAUGCCAGUUUGAUAUCGGGAACAACUUUGUAAAGAACACAUUAUGUUUCUGUUGAUCAAUAAAGCGAUGCGUAGCCUCAUUGCAUGAACCAGGGAGAAGGCUUUGAUAGUACAGUGCUGCAUUUCAUAAAGCCUUCAACUUCCGCGACUGCUCGAUCUUCAAUUUAUGAGGCGGACGCCUGGGCCAAUGGGCCAUCGGGAUCGGUAUGUGAACACUUAAUGUUAUGUCGUCGGUACAAAGGUCCACAGAAAUAGUUCUGCUGCUCUCUCAUGUUGAAAUGUUGUUGUUUGAAUGAGCCAAUCAGAUCUUUGAUUGAAUUAGGUCAAGAUUUUGGUUGAAUAAAUGCAACUUUUCUUAUCAUUGCGUCCAGUGGUCAUGAUCAUGCCUUGUGUUUGAUAUAGUGGUCUCGUACAUUUUCGGCAAUAACUGACAAUGGUCCCAAUCCAAAGCAGGUUUUACAAGAAGGUUACACAUGAUCGAGAAAUAAUUCAGCCAAGUUUUGCUGAUAAAAACAUGCGAUCGAGGUGUCAUUGCGCAUUUGUUUGCUUUUUGAUGCUAGGUUGCAAAACUAUUAACACUCGAGAGCAUACUGGCGGCCAUCUUUGCCGACUGUACAGUGAGAAGGGAACAUGUUUGGAGAGGGAGGACGUAACGAUUACUACAGGAUGGCUUAUGUAUCAACUAGAGGUUAGAUUAGCGUCGAUUAGCACCAAUUUAAGACACGGCAUUCACAAACAACUUUAAUCGAACGUUUCUACGCGUGGUCAAGCGUGCAAUCCAGCCGUGUAAUAAUUUUCCCUAUAAACACAUGAAAAAGAACAAGUAUAUUUUUGAGGUCUGUGAAAUAAAAUACCCCUAAAUUCAAAACUUCAGAAAAGGGAGUCACACGUACAUGUAUUUAAGUCUUUGUCCAAAAGAUAACCUCGAAAAACAAAGUCUUUCUUGUACUGUGGUAACAGGAAUGAAAAGUAGUGCAGCUCUAAUCUACUUCUUCUUUAACAAAUCCUCUUUCAGGAGAAAAGCACUGAAGCGUACAGAGUUACUGAACCAGUCGUUUUCAAACCUCCCGUAUCGGCCAUUUUGAGCAAAUAUGAAGCCAGGCUGUGCAUGCCGGAUGACAAUUCUAAUUCGAUACUAUUUAUUUAUCAAGAGGACAGAGGACGUUUUCCUGUUAUAAGAAAUAUACUUGUCUACCAACCUAAACAAACGAAUGUUUACGCACUGGUUCAUAAUGUGUCUGUUUCCUCUCGUUUCGUUAUAAUGUUCAAUGAUAUUCACAACGGGAAAUUAUGGCUGCUUGACUUCGUGCGCCGGAGAAGUGGACGUGAAAAGGUUGUAUUUAAGUUGUUGGAGAUAUUAACUGAUCGCUAUGACACAAUGAUCCUACCUCGUCAUCACCAAUGCUCAGCAUCCAGAUCCGCGUUUUCCCAGCCGCUUCUCUUGAAAAACAUCAUGGCAGUAGGAUGUCGUGUUAAGGGUGCUUCUAGGCAGUUGAUCACCGUGUUUAACGUUACGUGGAUACGCGAUCAAGCGACGCUCUUAAAAUUUGAUAGUUGGCUCACAGGGCCCGGCAAUGCCCUAAUUCUUUUUGGCAAUCGACAAGGUCAUUUAUCAUGCUUUAGAAGUGUAGAUAGAGGUUCCCUUCAACUAAUUCGUGUCUUCCCUGAACCUAAAAAAGAGUUGGAAUGGUUUUCGUUAUCAUUUUACUCAUUUCGUGCGUAUAACAUCAACUAUCGAAAGGAAUCAACGCUUUUAUUGGCAUAUAUGCAUGUUUAUAACAAAAACGUAUUUUCCAGAGUAAUAUUUAUCAGAGGCAUAUGCUAUCCUCUGGCUCCUUUGAAUUCUGUAACAAAGUUUAAUAAGAUGACCAUUGUUUCGGUCAGUAAUUGGCAUAUUGUGAAUCCGAGGAAACAAAGUAAAUAUAUAAAAGAACGCAGAAUAGUAAUGCUACCUAAUAGCGUUCUAUUAUCCCCCGUGCGGACUAUUAAAGAUAUGGGUAAAGGACAGAGCAAGGAGACAAUAAAAUACGCCAAACGGUUUACGCCAAUUGGUUAGCAAAACGCGUCGAAAGGUUUACUGGCCAUGCACAGAAAUUAGUAAAACCACUCGAGUAGAAAUUCCGAGGUCGGGUGAUUGGUCUUUAGCCAGAAAACCCGUGAGCCAGCAGGUCGAGGAGAUUACCGGAACCAAUAAGAGACCGAUCACUGGUGUGAUCUGCUAUCUUGACGGUUUAACCAGCGUAAAUCAAACUCGGUGGAAAAAAUGUAGACCGAAGGUUUGUCAACGGCGAAAACCGAAUUUUUAGCCAUUCCGUAGAUUUUAGUAUGUCACAGCCAGGUUGAUCGAAACUUAAAAACUGUGAAAAAUUUCAAUAUGUUUGAUAACGGGUAAGAGAGCGAGAAUCAUUCUCGAUGAAUAAAUUGGUUCCCGGAACGGGAUAGUGAAACCUCUCUAUAAUCAAAAAUGUACGAAAGCCGAGAGGGAUCAUCCGAAAUACGAAAUUCGAAAUCAGAGAUCUUCAAUCCGAAAUCCGAGCUCCUUGAUGCAAUAUCUGAAUUAUCAAAUCAGCGGCGGCGUUACUAGACGUUGACGCAACUAGCUAAUGAAGUCAGGCGUAUCAAUCUUGGCACUAGAGGGUGUUGAUCGGGGCUCGUGAACGCCCUCUAGCGCAGGUGUUAUACUGGUGGUGGGUUUUUUUCACUACAGGAUAAAUGGAAUACCAGAGCUUUGAAACUACUUUCACCAACGGAUGAUAGCAAUACUUAAGUGAGCGCAACAUUUACAUACUCGAUUACAUAUUUCAUGACAUUUCGGUCCCUAACGUUCAUUACGGUUUUAUUCGGGUGGAGGGGAUUCAUAAGGCCAGAGCCCUCUAUUAAACACUGUGUACAUUAAGUGUACACUGUUGUUCAUAAAUUUAGGUAAAAAAGUACUUUGGAACAAUCAAUCUUCACAAAAUUGUAUAUGUGUCAAGUACAACCCUUUGCCAAUAGCAUAAUAAAGUCUCAAAGCAUUCCAAUACCGUUUGCCUGAGAAAAAAUGAUUUCCGUAAGCCAUAUCAAUCAAAACGUCACUGGCGCAUUGAUAUUGCCCUGUCAAAAUACUAGUUCUAAACUGACCAGUGACACAAUGUGGAAUUAAUUCUCAAUCAGUGGUCGAUUCUUAAAAGAUUCUUAAAAGAAUCAACCACAGACUGAGAAUUAUUUCAACUUUGGUCCAUCCCAGCCAUGUAUUCACCACAACUUGACAUUUUAAUAAGCUCUAUGUGACUGCCACACUUCCGGUUGUGGAUGAAUACAUGUCUCUGCCCAUAACAGGUAUUUAUCUUUUUUCAAUUUCAAUAUUGAGUUUUCUAAAGGGCUUUGUCUCCCAACAAUACUGCAUUUAGUUUCAAUCCGAUCGAUGCCAGUUUGAUAUCGGGAAC